rnacentral:piRNA from 1 species
UGUGUUCAUUUUUGUGCUUAUGUGCAACACA